AUGGGGCCCAUCAAACAGACCGCCUGCAAAGCCACCACCUGGCAGGCUCCCAGGAAGCCCCGGACCACAAAAGCCGUCCGCAAAAGGGCGCCCUCUAGAGGAUGGAUCAAGAAGUCUCACAGCUGCAGACCUGGCCCCAUGGCGCUGAGUGAAAUCAGAAGUACCACAAGUCCACUCAGCUGCUCCAGCACAAGCUAACCUUCCAGCGCCUGGUGCGCGAGAUCCCCCGGACCAUCAGCCGGGACCUGGGCUUCCAGAGCGUGGCCGUUGGUGCUUUCAGGGGACCAAUGAGGCCUACCUGGUGCGCCUCUUUGAAGACACCAACCUGUAUGUCAUCCAUGCCAGAAGCGUCCCAAUUAUGCCAAGAGACGUGCAGCUGGCCCACAGCCUCCGUGGAGAGGGUGCUG
rnacentral:lncRNA from 1 species